UGACAACGUUGAUGCAAUUGUGUGUGCAGGUGAUGGUGGUAUCGCAGGAACUGUUGUAUUUGCUUCCCUGCAGUAUUGACAGAUGUCCUUUACAGGUAAACCAUAUCUUACAUGACGGGUCUGCUACUUCCAAUAUUUUGAGUGCUGUCUUGGACUUCGGUGUGUUCAUUUUCCUGCAUAUUGGUAACAAUUCCAGGAAUCAAGGACAAGCUAUUCAAAAGGUGACAAAAAAAAUGCUGGAGGCGCACUAGAUUUCAGAAAUUGGAAGUGAAACCAGCUGCAUCGUUUGGAAAUAGAACCUGUAAUAAGAGAUUGUCUUUGAUGCAUAUGUAACAGUGUUGGUGGGAAUAGUCUCAUAUAGAGUUCAGAUAUAUUGAAAUUAGUAUAGAAACUUAUACAUUUUCAUGGCCAAAAGGGGAAAGUUCAUGCACUCUAACCACCCUUGAUACAUGAGAACCACCUAGGGUUUCUCCGUGGUGUGCUAGCCAGUCUGAAUUGGCAAGCCAGUCUGAGUUGGAAGCAUCACGCUCUCUUAAUAAAUACCAUACGAGAGUCAUUUCUCUCAUAUCCAGUGUUUUGAGAAACGCCUAUGGGUCUUUCGACUAGCACCACGAGGUGGUUCUAAGGGCUCGGGUUCGAAGCCUCACCCUCUUAAUAAAUACCGAUA